rnacentral:rRNA from 1 species
AGCAGCCGCGGUAAUUCCAGCUCCAAUAGCGUAUAUUAAAGUUGUUGCAGUUAAAAAGCUCGUAGUUGAAUUUCGGGAUCAGUUCGUCGGUCGUGCCUUUGGUAUGUACUGGUGUUACUGGUUCCUCCCUUCUGACGAACCGUCAUGUCAUUAAUUUGGUGUGGCGGGAAAUCAGGACUGUUACUUUGAAAAAAUUAGAGUGUUUAAAGCAGGCUCGCGCUUGAAUACAUUAGCAUGGAAUAAUGAAAUAGGACGUUCGAUCCUAUUUUGUUGGUUUCUAGGAUUGACGUAAUGAUUAAUAGGGAUAGUUGGGGGCAUUAGUAUUCAAUUGUCAGAGGUGAAAUUCUUGGAUUUAUUGAAGACUAACUACUGCGAAAGCAUUUGCCAAGGAUGUUUUCAUUAAUCAAGAACGAAAGUUAGGGGAUCGAAGACGAUCAGAUACCGUCGUAGUCUUAACCAUAAACUAUGCCGACUAGGGAUCGGAUGAUGUUAAUUUUUUAAUGACUCAUUCGGCGCCUUACG